GAUGAACGCUGGCGGCGUGCUUAAUACAUGCAAGUCGAACGGAGAUAGUAGCAAUAUUAUCUUAGUGGCGAACGGGUGAGUAACGCGUUGGUGACCUGCCCCGAAGAGAGGGAUAGCAGUUCGAAAGGACUGAUAAUACCUCAUGUGGUUGAGGGUUUUAGAAUCCUUCAACUAAACGGAUUUAUUCGCUUCGGGAGGGGCCUGCGUCCCAUCAGCUAGUUGGUAGGGUAAUGGCCUACCAAGGCGAUGACGGGUAGGGGACCUGAGAGGGUGGCCCCCCACAAUGGAACUGAAACACGGUCGAUACACCUACGGGUGGCAGCAGUAGGGAAUAUUGGUAAUCUGCGAAAGCGGGAACCAGCAACGCCGCGUGCACGAUGAAGGCCUUCGGGUCGUAAAGUGCUUUUAGAGAGGAUGAGGAAGGACAGUACUUUCUGAAUAAGCCUCGGCUAACUACGUGCCAGCCGCCGCUGUAAAAC
rnacentral:rRNA from 1 species